UCUUCCCGACGUGCCCUGCAGCUCGGGAGCCGAACCCGGAAGUUCCGGGCCGAGCUCCGGAUGCCAACGAGUCUCGUAAGGUGCGGCUAGAAACUGGGGACAUGGCAGCGCCCGGCCCAGCGCUCUGCCUCUUCGACGUGGAUGGGACCCUCACCGCUCCGCGGCAGAAAAUUACCAAAGAAAUGGAUGACUUCUUGCAAAAAUUGAGGCAGAAGAUCAAAAUCGGAGUGGUAGGCGGGUCGGACUUUGAGAAAGUACAGGAGCAACUGGGAAAUGAUGUGCUUGAAAAAUAUGAUUAUGUGUUUCCAGAAAAUGGCUUGGUAGCAUACAAAGAUGGGAAACUCUUGUGUAAACAGAAUAUUCAAAGUCAUCUGGGUGAGGCCCUAAUCCAAGAUUUAAUCAACUACUGUCUGAGCUACAUUGCAAAAAUCAAACUCCCAAAGAAGAGGGGUACUUUCAUUGAAUUCCGAAGUGGGAUGUUAAAUGUGUCCCCUAUUGGAAGAAGCUGCAGCCAAGAAGAACGCAUUGAGUUCUAUGAACUCGAUAAAAAAGAAAAUAUAAGACAAAAGUUUGUAGCAGAUCUACAGAAAGAGUUCGCGGGAAAAGGCCUCACAUUUUCCAUAGGAGGCCAGAUCAGCUUUGAUGUCUUUCCCGAUGGAUGGGACAAGAGAUACUGCCUGCGACACGUGGAAAAUGACGGUUAUAGGACCAUUCACUUCUUUGGAGACAAAACCAUGCCAGGUGGCAAUGACCAUGAGAUCUUCACAGACCCCAGGACCGUGGGCCACUCCGUGACGGCGCCUGAAGACACACGCAAGAUCUGCGAAGAGCUCUUCUGACACCGGGGCAGGAGUUGCGGGGUCCUGGCUGACAAGGCAGCAUGGGGCAUUCAGUGGCCAGAGCCAAGGGCCCGCCCACAUGUGCUCACCCAUCCACAGCCAGCCCAGCCAGGCUAUGCGCCCUGUGCCAGGCACAUGUAGUCUGGACCUCCACCCCUGACAUGCCAUGCCUCCACUUCCACUGCCAGAGGCUUCCAGAAGGAAGGAGAAAACAUUUGUCAAGAACGGCUCAGAAGAACGCCUCCCACAAAAGGUUUUCUUAAAGUAUUGCGUCAAAGCAAGACAGCUGAGUCUUACUCAAACUUGUUUUAACUGGACAUGGAAGGUUGCUGCUGUGUCCCCGCCUGCGCAGGGCUGCCCUCAGGCCGGCUUCCUGGGGGUUACUCUAGGGGCGUCUGCUUGCUAAAUAACAGCUAACUGAUGCAUGUGCAGCGCUUCCUGGUGCCUUCCACGUGUACCCAGAGCAGGAAGUUCCACACAUAGCAGGUAAGAGCACACCCGCCAAGGCUCCAAGCCUGGUUCUGCUGCUACUCGCUGCUGCAUGACUUAGGGUAAGUUCAUCUUCUCUUCAGUUUGUUCAUCUGUCACAUGGGACAGUCCUUACCACAUAUGGCAUUUAAAGCACUUCGAAUAGUAAUGUGAGCCAUUACUAAUUCAGUACCUCCCUCCCAACCCAGAACCUUGUAAGGCAGGGACAGUCAUUCCCUCUGCCUUAGGGGUUGGCAGGAUAAAGCAACUUAAACACAGUAGGCAAGUUUUGAGCCAGAGCAAAGCACAGAGGUUGCACCCAGGCCAGCCUAUGGCUGUUGAAAGUUACCAUCCCCAGCACUGCAGAAGCUGACCCUGAGCUCAAGGUCACCCAGGGCUGAGGAAGCCUCAGGGGAAAGGCCUGGGUUGAACCUGAGCAGCCGGGUGAGUGCAGGGCAGACCUCUGGUUCCCUGGAGGGAGAGGCUAGUCAGGAAGCUGAGCUUGAACCUGAUCCUGAGGGAGGGGCCCAGAGCAUGCUCCUGAUCUGUCCACCUGUCAUCCCGGAAGGUCUCCACCUACUUGAAGGGGAGUGCCCAUAGGGGCCAGGAGAGGAACUGGUUGGGCAGAUGUUGCCGUAAUCAGGACAUAUCCAGGCAUACGUGGUUUUGAAUCACUUCCUCUCCACCCCUCCCAAGUGUUCUGGGUCUGGGCCCCAGCAGGCCACCUCAGCCCAGGCAGGCUCCUCCAACCCUAACCAGAGGCAGUUGGGCCUUCAGACUUCCCUGCAACCUUCACGCUGCUCUCCACAGCACCCCAAAUUCAAGAUCAGAAUUCACUGUUCACCACCACCUUCACCCAAGGCUGGUUUCCCAAAUGUCUUCCCAGUCCCACCUUGAGUUUUUGGGGGUUUUGUUUGUUUGCUUUUAGAGGCGAAGAAGUCUCUUUGUUGUCGCCCGGGCUGGAGUGCAGUGAUGCAAUC